ACGGGUGAGUAACGCGUGAGUAACCUGCCUUCAANAGGGGGAUAACAUUCUGAAAAGAAUGCUAAUACCGCAUGACAUAUCGGAACCACAUGGUUUUGAUAUCAAAGAUUUUAUCGCUUGAAGAUGGACUCGCGUCCGAUUAGUUAGUUGGUGAGGUAACGGCUCACCAAGACCGCGGUCGGUAGCCGGACUGAGAGGUUGAACGGCCACAUUGGGACUGAGACACGGCCCAGACUCCUACGGGAGGCAGCAUG
rnacentral:rRNA from 1 species